UUGCAUAGUACGGCAGACGCUGACUUUAUACGACCGUCUGCUUGAGGGAAGAUAAACAUUUAAGAGAAGUCGUCUUUGAUUAUUGCCUAUAAAAUGAUGAAUUAAUUUCAUCCCCAAACCUGAAGCUUAAGUGGGAUUUUUUUCCUCAAGAUCACCUCUUUAUAAAGCCGCCGGGAGAGGGUUAGCACUGGACCAUUUUCUCUCUGCUGCUGUAAGAAUUCGCGAGUAAACGCUCCAUAGCCGCCACAAAACAGCCUAAACCACAACAGGCCAUUAAAGUUACCUCACCACGAAGAGAGAUUACACCACCUUCUGAGGAAAAAAAUAUAAGAAUUAUACCAACGCAAACAACAGAUCUGGAAUAAUUGACUUUGGAUGUAGCUGCUUUAUUCAUUUUAAUUUUCUGACUAUGUCUGAGAAACCUGACCGCACUCGUCAGAUCUACUUCA